GUAGUCGCCCAGCCAGUAUGGUGGCUAUGACCCUCGGCUUGUAACCGAGUGGAUUCGGGUUCGAAUCCCGAGUAACA
rnacentral:tRNA from 1 species